rnacentral:rRNA from 1 species
CAGCAGCCGCGGGAAUACGGAGGGUGCAAGCGUUAAUCGGAAUUACUGGGCGUAAAGCGCACGCAGGCGGUCUGUCAAGUCAGAUGUGAAAUCCCCGGGCUUAACCUGGGAACUGCAUUUGAAACUGGCAGGCUAGAGUCUUGUAGAGGGGGGUAGAAUUCCAGGUGUAGCGGUGAAAUGCGUAGAGAUCUGGAGGAAUACCGGUGGCGAAGGCGGCCCCCUGGACAAAGACUGACGCUCAGGUGCGAAAGCGUGGGGAGCAAACAGGAUUAGAUACCCGCGUAGUCCCUGUCUCUUAUAC